rnacentral:misc_RNA from 1 species
GAUGAAUAACGUAGCGAAAUGCGAUAAGUAAUGUGAAUUGCAGAAUUCAGUGAAUCAUCGAAUCUUUGAACGCACAUUGCGCCCGCCAGUAUUCUGGCGGGCAUGCCUGUUCGAGCGUCAUUUCAACCAUCAAGCCCUGCUUGCGUUGGGGUCCUGCGGCUGCCCGCAGGCCCUGAAAACCAGUGGCGGGCUCGCUAGUCACACCGAGCGCAGUAAUACAUCUCGCUUUGGGCGUGCGGCGGGUUCUUGCCGUUAAACACCCCCUUUUUACCAAGGUUGACCUCGGAUCAGGUAGGAAUACCCGCUGAACUUAAGCAUAUCAAUAAGCGGAGGA